rnacentral:rRNA from 1 species
UUAAGUUAUUAAGGGCGCACGGUGGAUGCCUUGGCACUAGAAGCCGAUGAAGGACGUUACUAACGACGAUAUGCUUUGGGGAGCUGUAAGUAAGCUUUGAUCCAGAGAUUUCCGAAUGGGGAAACCCAGCAUGAGUUAUGUCAUGUUAUCGAUAUGUGAAUACAUAGCAUAUCAGAAGGCACACCCGGAGAACUGAAACAUCUUAGUACCCGGAGGAAGAGAAAGAAAAUUCGAUUCCCUUAGUAGCGGCGAGCGAAACGGGAAGAGCCCAAACCAACAAGCUUGCUUGUUGGGGUUGUAGGACACUCUAUACGGAGUUACAAAGGACGACAUUAGACGAAUCAUCUGGAAAGAUGAAUCAAAGAAGGUAAUAAUCCUGUAGUCGAAAAUGUUGUCUCUCUUGAGUGGAUCCUGAGUACGACGGAGCACGUGAAAUUCCGUCGGAAUCUGGGAGGACCAUCUCCUAAGGCUAAAUACUCUCUAGUGACCGAUAGUGAACCAGUACCGUGAGGGAAAGGUGAAAAGCACCCCGGAAGGGGAGUGAAAUAGAACCUGAAACCGUGUGCUUACAAGUAGUCAGAGCCCGUUAAUGGGUGAUGGCGUGCCUUUUGUAGAAUGAACCGGCGAGUUACGAUUUGAUGCAAGGUUAAGCAGUAAAUGUGGAGCCGUAGCGAAAGCGAGUCUGAAUAGGGCGUUUAGUAUUUGGUCGUAGACCCGAAACCAGGUGAUCUACCCUUGGUCAGGUUGAAGUUCAGGUAACACUGAAUGGAGGACCGAACCGACUUACGUUGAAAAGUGAGCGGAUGAACUGAGGGUAGCGGAGAAAUUCCAAUCGAACCUGGAGAUAGCUGGUUCUCUCCGAAAUAGCUUUAGGGCUAGCCUCAAGUGAUGAUUAUUGGAGGUAGAGCACUGUUUGGACGAGGGGCCCCUCUCGGGUUACCGAAUUCAGACAAACUCCGAAUGCCAAUUAAUUUAACUUGGGAGUCAGAACAUGGGUGAUAAGGUCCGUGUUCGAAAGGGAAACAGCCCAGACCACCAGCUAAGGUCCCAAAAUAUAUGUUAAGUGGAAAAGGAUGUGGCGUUGCCCAGACAACUAGGAUGUUGGCUUAGAAGCAGCCAUCAUUUAAAGAGUGCGUAAUAGCUCACUAGUCGAGUGACACUGCGCCGAAAAUGUACCGGGGCUAAACAUAUUACCGAAGCUGUGGAUUGUCCUUUGGACAAUGGUAGGAGAGCGUUCUAAGGGCGUUGAAGCAUGAUCGUAAGGACAUGUGGAGCGCUUAGAAGUGAGAAUGCCGGUGUGAGUAGCGAAAGACGGGUGAGAAUCCCGUCCACCGAUUGACUAAGGUUUCCAGAGGAAGGCUCGUCCGCUCUGGGUUAGUCGGGUCCUAAGCUGAGGCCGACAGGCGUAGGCGAUGGAUAACAGGUUGAUAUUCCUGUACCACCUAUAAUCGUUUUAAUCGAUGGGGGGACGCAGUAGGAUAGGCGAAGCGUGCGAUUGGAUUGCACGUCUAAGCAGUAAGGCUGAGUAUUAGGCAAAUCCGGUACUCGUUAAGGCUGAGCUGUGAUGGGGAGAAGACAUUGUGUCUUCGAGUCGUUGAUUUCACACUGCCGAGAAAAGCCUCUAGAUAGAAAAUAGGUGCCCGUACCGCAAACCGACACAGGUAGUCAAGAUGAGAAUUCUAAGGUGAGCGAGCGAACUCUCGUUAAGGAACUCGGCAAAAUGACCCCGUAACUUCGGGAGAAGGGGUGCUCUUUAGGGUUAACGCCCAGAAGAGCCGCAGUGAAUAGGCCCAAGCGACUGUUUAUCAAAAACACAGGUCUCUGCUAAACCGUAAGGUGAUGUAUAGGGGCUGACGCCUGCCCGGUGCUGGAAGGUUAAGAGGAGUGGUUAGCUUCUGCGAAGCUACGAAUCGAAGCCCCAGUAAACGGCGGCCGUAACUAUAACGGUCCUAAGGUAGCGAAAUUCCUUGUCGGGUAAGUUCCGACCCGCACGAAAGGCGUAACGAUUUGGGCACUGUCUCAACGAGAGACUCGGUGAAAUCAUAGUACCUGUGAAGAUGCAGGUUACCCGCGACAGGACGGAAAGACCCCGUGGAGCUUUACUGUAGCCUGAUAUUGAAAUUCGGCACAGCUUGUACAGGAUAGGUAGGAGCCUUUGAAACGUGAGCGCUAGCUUACGUGGAGGCGCUGGUGGGAUACUACCCUAGCUGUGUUGGCUUUCUAACCCGCACCACUUAUCGUGGUGGGAGACAGUGUCAGGCGGGCAGUUUGACUGGGGCGGUCGCCUCCUAAAAGGUAACGGAGGCGCUCAAAGGUUCCCUCAGAAUGGUUGGAAAUCAUUCAUAGAGUGUAAAGGCAUAAGGGAGCUUGACUGCGAGACCUACAAGUCGAGCAGGGUCGAAAGACGGACUUAGUGAUCCGGUGGUUCCGCAUGGAAGGGCCAUCGCUCAACGGAUAAAAGCUACCCCGGGGAUAACAGGCUUAUCUCCCCCAAGAGUUCACAUCGACGGGGAGGUUUGGCACCUCGAUGUCGGCUCAUCGCAUCCUGGGGCUGUAGUCGGUCCCAAGGGUUGGGCUGUUCGCCCAUUAAAGCGGUACGCGAGCUGGGUUCAGAACGUCGUGAGACAGUUCGGUCCCUAUCCGUCGUGGGCGUAGGAAAUUUGAGAGGAGCUGUCCUUAGUACGAGAGGACCGGGAUGGACAUACCUCUGGUGUACCAGUUGUCGUGCCAACGGCAUAGCUGGGUAGCUAUGUGUGGACGGGAUAAGUGCUGAAAGCAUCUAAGCAUGAAGCCCCCCCUCAAGAUGAGAUUUCCCAACUUCGGUUAUAAGAUCCCUCAAAGAUGAUGAGGUUAAUAGGUUCGAGGUGGAAGCAUGGUGACAUGUGGAGCUGACGAAUACUAAUCGAUCGAAGACUUAAUC